GAUGAACUGUUGGAAAAUUUUCCCUAGAAAAUGAAUAAUGAAUAGAUUUUAUUAAUAAUACCUGUCCAUGUAAUAUGUGGAAUAUAUAUAUGUAUGUGUGUGUAUAUUAUAUAUACACAUCUUCCUAUUAUUGCCCCCAGUUUCUCUUUUCCUGAUUCUGAGCCAGCCUUUUCAUUUUUAUGAUGGCAACCUGAGAAUAUGUUCCAUUUUCUGUGAACUUUGUCAGAUUCAUACUAUAUGAGGAAAUGAUCUAAUGUGCUCCAGGCAAGUCACUUACAUUACAUGUCAGUCUCUUCAUCUGUAAAAUCAUGAGAUUUAACCUAGAGCUGGACAGAAAAUUAGAGGUCACCUGACAUUCUGUGAUACUAGGAAUCCUUAGAAAGUUUUUACUCUACAAAAUCUCAGAAAUGAUUUUUCUCAAAUCUACUACCCUUUGUGGAAAUUCUCGCAGUGCCUUGCACACAAUAAAAGUUUGAUUUGCCAACAGGCACCUAGCUGGUAUGUGUUCAUAUCAUACAGACUCAAAGAACCUGAUGCCUGUGAGAUCUCAGCACCUCCCUGCUGAUAAGAAUGAUUGUAGUUUCUCUAGAAACUGAGGACUGAGGUCUGUGGGCUUUACCUAUGUGGAAUCUGACUAUAUAUGCCGUUGGUACCUGAGCAAGAAUUACGGCUGCAACAGAUGUGGAGGUAUGGUAAGACCCACCUUGACAUUGAUGUGAAAAAGAAUUUUAUAUCCCAUCCAAUAUCUGCUUCAGUGUCUUAAUUAUUUCCAUAUCCUCAAAAACAUCUGUUGGAACAAAUUAGUAAUAUUAGAAAGGAAAGUAGUAUAGAAGUCAAACCCAAGUCACUUCUGGUUUAAUUCUUAGCUCUGCUGCUUAAUUCCUCUAUACCUCAUGUCCUCAUGGUGGAAGUGGGGACAAUAAUCUGGACCUACCUCACAGGGGAAUUGAGGAUUUUUUCAUAUAUAAAUGUGCUUUUGAAAUUGACUGAAGGAUAUAUUGCAUAUCAUAAUUUUGUAACUUCUAAAUAGAGUCCUUUAAAUCUAUGUUGUUAUGUUUUCUUUCUCAGUCAAACCUUACAGAAAGAGUAUUGCAAUUAAUCUAGUUUUGGUAGUAAUUUUGUUACUAAUCCCUUAUGUGUUAAUAUGGAUAAUUGUGUUAUAAUUGUGUUAUAUUGUGUUAUAAUACUUGAUUGAGAGAGGAAAAGCACGUGGAUAUAAACCAAUGGUUCUCAACUUGGGGCAGAUGAAAAUAGCAGUGGGGUCAUCCUGAACCUUUUUCAGCAUUUUAAAAAGUAUACUAGAAAUCAUGCAUUUACCCAUAACAUUUCUACUGCACAAGCCAACUAAGACAGAAUUUUUACACAUUUUGCUUAUAUUUCUUCAAUUCUAAUACUGGUUAUCUAUAUUGAUCAGAAACUGUGAAUGGUGGUUAGGCUUUUAAUUAUUUUUUUAAAUGAGAAAGCCUAUUGUAAUAUGCAGUUUAAUAAAUACUUGAAAAUAUGGGGAAGGAAUAAUAAAGGAAUCCUCAUGGCAGAAAUGUUAGGAGCCACUUUCAUAAAGGAACCGAAAUUAUUUGACCUCCACAGGUUGCUUACCUAGUCCCUAAAUAAUGAAAUGCUAAAGUAUGUGUGUGUGUUUUAGCUAGACUGGGCUAUAUAACUUCAGGUUAGAAUUUGCCUUCAGUUUUUUUUUUUGUUUCAAGAUGAUAUAAUUGAGCUAAUUUAUCUGGGUAUAUAUGUGUAAAUCAUUCAUAUACACACAUACAGGAUUACAAGUGUGGAAAGUGUUAUAAUGUUGUCUUCUAGCAUUGGAGUAAACACCAAUAUCUGAGUCUCAAAGUAGUUCUGUGUAUAAAGUCAACAUGAAGUCAAUUAUUGCUUUAAGCAAUAAUUUCUCAAAUGUUUCUUUUAUUCCUGCUUAUUUUGUUUGCUAUGAUCUUUAAUUUUUUAAUUUUUCAUUUUAUAGUAAGCAAAUAGUAUAAAAUUGAUUUAAUGCCUGGACUUUGAAACCAGUUACCUAUGUUUGAAAUUAUAUGAUCUACAAGCUAGUUUGCCAUCCUUGAACUAACCAUGUACAAAUGUAAGUCAGCUGCAAAAAUAGGAAAUCCUGCUAGAAGGUGGGCACUGAUCAAAAUAUUUGUCUGAAAAACCUAGGAUUUCUACUUUGGGGCAGAGGAUUCCUGUUGAGACAGUUUUACCAGAAAAGGGUAAAAGUGAAUAUGUCCAUUUAAGCCAAGAACUUUCAUGCAUAUUGUAUUGUUAUAUAGCCUGUGGAAUGAAUCAUUUUUUUCUCCCUUGAGUUCCGGAGUGACUCUCCUGGAAAAACUCAACCUAUAUACCUGUGCCAAAAGGAAGGAUACCUACCUCUCUGAAACUUUCACUGCUGCUUCUGUUGUUGUUCAAUUGUCAGAUAUUAAAUUUUAUUCUCUCAGGAUGCAAAAUUACAAUAAAGUGCAAAUCUCUGUUAAUGAAUUGUGUAUUCUUUGGUGCAUCUUCCUUCUUCCAUCCCUGCUUUCAUCAUUAUAAGGUAACUAAGGAUUCCUUUUAAAAUGUUUGUCUUGCAUAUUGCCCCCUCCCACAUUUGCUAGUGUUAUGUCUAAUACUGUAAUUCACGCUCUCUGUUGGUUUUGUGGGCCUUUGUUGUGCCCAGGGUUUGGCAUUUGACUAAGUAGGAAUUUGUUUCUAAACAACUUUGCAUUCACCUUGUAUGCCUACUUAUGAAUUAUAAAAAUAAAGUACAAGUGGAUUUCCACCGUACUAAGCAUAAUGUUUUAAUACAAGAAAUGUUGAAAUGUGAAGCUAUUUGGCAAAAGUUUUGACUCUUGUCAGCAGACUAUAUGACAC
ensembl:lncRNA